rnacentral:rRNA from 1 species
GAGAAUGCCGGUGUGAGUAGCGAAAGACGGGUGAGAAUCCCGUCCACCGAUUGACUAAGGUUUCCAGAGGAAGGCUCGUCCGCUCUGGGUUAGUCGGGUCCUAAGCUGAGGCCGACAGGCGUAGGCGAUGGAUAACAGGUUGAUAUUCCUGUACCACCUAUAAUCGUUUUAAUCGAUGGGGGGACGCAGUAGGAUAGGCGAAGCGUGCGAUUGGAUUGCACGUCUAAGCAGUAAGGCUGAGUAUUAGGCAAAUCCGGUACUCAUUAAGGCUGAGCUGUGAUGGGGAGAAGACAUUGUGUCUUCGAGUCGUUGAUUUCACACUGCCGAGAAAAGCCUCUAGAUAGAAAAUAGGUGCCCGUACCGCAAACCGACACAGGUAGUCAAGAUGAGAAUUCUAAGGUGAGCGAGCGAACUCUCGUUAAGGAACUCGGCAAAAUGACCCCGUAACUUCGGGAGAAGGGGUGCUCUUUAGGGUUAACGCCCAGAAGAGCCGCAGUGAAUAGGCCCAAGCGACUGUUUAUCAAAAACACAGGUCUCUGCUAAACCGUAAGG